rnacentral:lncRNA from 1 species
CCCACCUCCCUUUCCACUAUCCCUUGUUCAUUUCCCAGAGUUAGGAGUCUCUCAUGUUCUGUCACCCUCUCUGAUAUUUCCCACUCCUUUUCUCUCCUUUCCCCUUUAAUCCCUUUCACUAUUUUUUAUAUUCCCUGUAUGAGUGAAACCAUAUGUUUGUCCUUCUCUGAUUGACUUAUUUCACUCAGCAUAAUACCCCCCAGUUCCAUACACAUCAAAGCAAAUGGUGGGUAUUUGUCAUUUCUAAUGGCUGAGUAAUAGUCCAUUGUAUAUAUAAACCACAUCUUCUUUAUCCAUUCAUCUUUUGAUGGACACCGAGGCUCCUGCCACAGCUUAGCUAUUGUGGACACAGCUGCUAUAAACAUUGGGGUGUAGGUGUCUCGGUUUUUCAUUGCAUCGAUAUCUUUGGGGUAAAUCCCAAGUAGUGCAAUUGCCAAGCAGACUUUUAAUGGAGAACAGAAAAGCUAAAUUUAGCCUCACCCCACCCCCAAGUGUAUAGAGAAAUUAGUGGGCUGAGAGAGGUAUGUCACUGGUGUGGGAAGAGGAGAAAAUAUCAAUCAGCUAUCAACAAAUAUUAACAGAUAACCCUACUGUGGACAGCCCAGGGAUCUCCAUCUCAAAAAAUACAAAAGGAGACAAAUACUAGUAUAAUGAAGAAAUGAGAGUCACCUACAGAUCAACCAACAAUUAACCUAAGCCCCUUGAUGCUGCCCCAGAUUUGGGGCAGGGGUUAGGCAGGGGUAGGGAGUUGGCGAUAUAUAGAGACUACGCAGAGGCAGAAGACAAGGUCUGCGGCAGGUACAUGGGGUUUGCUGUGAGAACGAGAGAUGGGGCCUAACCCAGGACAGGAAGCACAUCCAGUCCUGGCCCUAAGCCCUGCAUGCUCACCCUGAUUUAACCAAUGUUCUCUAAGGAAAGGGAAACUGGAGUCUAGCCCAGAAGAGAGCUAUCUUGCUCCAAAAACAGGACUCAAUAAAAUGCCCCUGCAUUUUAUCAGCCCCAUAGCAUAGCUGGGAAGGGCUCACUGUCAAGAUUCUUCCCAUGACAAUUAUGUCCAACUCCCCUCUUUCCCUCUAACUCUCCCAGGUUUGGUUCCAUGCAGUUCUGUUCUUGGAACUUGUCCCAUUCAACCUGAGCAUCUUCUGUCCAAUACUAGUGUGACCUCACUUCCUGGGCUGGGUCUGAUUUUGUCCAUUGUUUCUCCAACAUGAGCCUCUGAUUCUAUUCCAUUUGAUGUUUACUGAAUUAUAAAGCCAUCAUAGGCUCAGUGCUAUCUGCUUUAUCAUCCCGAUAAUCACCCAGCUACAGAAAGUGGAGGACUGGCACAGUUGUUGUCAGCAUCAUGGCUUACAGGAAGCAGUCAUUCUCACUCUCAGGCACCAUGGUGAUGGCCAGUCCAGCCACUUGGCAUGGCCACUGGGUGGGCAGGAAAAGACCUUAGCAAUGACAGUGCAGAUUCGAAGGUCAGCUUCUUGGGAGUUUGGUAGAAAUAUAAAUACUCUGCCUUCCUGGUUAGGGAGAAACAGGAAGAGAGAAUAACAGAUUAUGAAAGCAUCUUAGCAUUGUAGAAGCUGUGGGACUGCAUAUACAGUCACGUCUGGGAGUUUUAGGAAUUGGUAACAAAUCUAGGCCCAUGGAAUUCCGUUGGGACACUGAGCCACUGCAUCCUCCAGGAGACCCUGGUGCUUGUGCUAUAUUGAGGAGCCCAUCCCUAGGUGGAUGAAAGGACCCAUGACCAGAGAGGGUAUCACACAGGUCAGGAAUAUCUAAUCCUCUUUCUCAGAUGGUUCACCUUCUCAAGGGUAUAAUCUAAUGAAGGGUCACAGCAUUGAUAUUUAGUAAAGAAAUCAGAGUAUGCAUUUGGGGUGACAUUUUAUUAUAGAGUAGAUCUUUUUUCCCAAGGAAAUUCCUCACUGCUCAUCAUAUAAAAUUAACAACCAGUUUUAAGUCCUUAGGAACAAGGGUGGCAUCUUUUUGUCCUGGUUGUUCCACAGCACCUUGGCACAUGAAUAGCAAAAUAAGCUGUGUCUGAAUGAUUCUAAAUGAGGCCAUAUGGAUGCUCAUGAGAAACGGAGAGAGAAUAGAAACAUGACAAGGGAUUAAAAUGUGGCAUUACUUAUUAGAUCAUCCCUCCUUUCCAGUUUGGGAUAAACCAACUUUAAUCCAGAAGAAUCAAAGUAAUUCAGUAGAUAUGCUCAAGACAAUCUAUGAUUCUUUUUUUUUUUCAUUGAUUCAAUAUAUUAAAUAAGCACUACUACAUGAAAGCAGAGCAUCAUACCUGCCCACCAAGUUGGCAGGAGAAUAGGGUAGGAGAGAAAAUUCAAACCAGAGAUGGACAUCGCUAAAGAAAGAAUGAAUCAGGCAGUUGGUCUGGGAAAGAACAGCAAGAGAUUUCUCUUGACAGCACCAUCACAGAAUCAGCAGGUGUUUCCUUACAUGUAACAUAAGCCUUCUGCUUUCUCUAUUUCCUGUGGUCCACCCAUUUUCUCCUUCUGCAAUGUUUACUCUAUACUAUUAAUCUUGACUUUAAUCCUAUCAGCCUCAUCUGGGCAAUUCCAAGUGCAGAUUUAGCUCCUCCUCAGAGCUAAUCUCUGCCCCCACUGAAACCUGCUUCAUUCAACAUCAAUGUGCAGCUAUGUCUAUAACACAUGGUCCAGCUCCUGAUUAUAAUUUAUCUUUGUCAUGCUUAUUGUCUCCUGUGGGGAAUUCUAGGUCCCCAACUACUUCCUCAACGGACCAGUCUUUUUCUUUGCUUGGUCUCCCUCUAUAGGAUAGAAUACACAGAGCUUAAAAAAAAAAAAAAAAAGUUAUCGAGUAAAUCAAAAUGUAAAUGAAUGGAUUAUCUAACCAUUCUCCUAGAUAUGGGAAAACCUUGAACUUGGUAACUGAGUUGUCUGUUGAUUUAUACUAAAAUGUGAAUGGCUGAUAAUUAUAAACAAUUAUUUCUGCAGGAUGAUGUCUCUAUUCAGUCAGGGGUCUUCAAAGUCUUAUCUAAGAAAUAUGUUACAGUUAGCCACUAAUCUAGACAAAUGUAACCUAUACACAUGGUGCUGUCACUCAUUUAACCCACAAGCCCUGGUUCCCCUUUACAAUGUCAUUACUGUCCCCAGUUGAUUCAGUCAUAGUACCACAAGCAGAAGCCUGUGUGUUUGAUGAGGCUCAAGGCUAUGGUGUAUCUAAGAAUCCCCAGAGACCUAAGCUCUGACCUCUCCAAAGUAAUGGUAAGCAAGAAAGCACUACUGGCUCCCUCACUAUAGCUUAUGUGUGCUCACACACACAUGCACAUACAUACACAAUCCCUGAAAGUCUCACAGUUCCCCCACAGAACUGUUUAUCUCAGGAGAGAGUGGGUUUUUAAGAUAAACUCCUUUAAAGGUUGUGUACCUGCCAGGCACUGAUGCAAGGAACAUAAUUAAGAUGGAAAACAACCAAAUCCUGUGAGGAGCACAUACAGAACAAGACUGGGCUGCCUCAGAGAGGAAAAGGCCUCUCUCCCCUGUGGCCCUGUGCUCAAGAGCUCUCCACAAGCAAAGAAUUAAGUGAGAGUAGAAAGUAACAUGUGAACAAAACAAAAGAUAUAUCUAUGAAGCUCUGUUGUGUAACCCCUACACUCUAACUACUUAUUGCUGGCUUGACCCCUGCAGCCACCUUCUAGUCUGGGCCUGGAUCACCACAUUUCCCUAUGUUCUUUCCCUCACACCCCAGAUGUCAUAAGUCAAGUGAACUCCGGUGGAUCUGUGCUGAGCUCUCAGCAGUGGGCAAGUGGCAAAGGUGAAGAUGCCCAGAGGAGAGCUAAUAAUACUUCAAGAACUAUAGGGCCAACCAACCUUAAAUCAGUGAUGAAGAGCCCCCAAAGAGUUGUGAUAAAGUCACCCAUAGCUUCAGUGGGCCCUUACAUCCUCAAGACUAUUGUUCAAAAGAUGAGGAGGGCCAACAGGAUGAGCCAGAUGGCAGGUGUUAUCAAAGUCAGGUGGGGGCAACAUCCUGGCAAGAGGGUCUGGUUCAUGUAGAACCAGAAUUCCCCAAGAAUUCUGAUACCAAUCCUGCCCUCUUUUCCUCUCACUAUCUUGGGAAUUAAGGGACAGGGUCCAGACUCACAGACUCUAGGAAAAAAGUUGCCAGAGAGUCAAAAGCAAACCCAAGUGGCCUGGGCUUCAAGAGAGCGUAUGUUCCAUCCAAAGAACUAGAUGACAAGGUAGAAAACAGCAGCAGAAAACUCAUCUUGAGGAUUGUAUCAUUAGGGCUUAACGGAAUGAGUUUCAGAAUCAAGCAGGUAUCAGCUGGAAUCUAGUCUGUU